AGUUUGAAAAAAAUUUAUUUCUUGGCAUUACAUUAUUUACCUAAGAACGCUUCAAAUAUAAUCAACACUAUCUUCUUACACCUUACGCUUCUUUCCAUAUUAAUUGCACUGUUCUCUUUCUCUUUUUCACACAUUUGCCGAUUUAGAAGUGCGACGAGUGCUUCCUUCUUGUCUAUCUCUGUCAAAUCAUUCCCCUACGAGCACUUCGAACACUCAUAGGGGAAUGACUGUGUUCGGUUAUUUGUCAGGGAUAUAUGUAAUCGCGCGCACGCGUGCUUCCAGUCUUUGAAAAUCUACAUACGUCACUCUAUCCGUUUCUCUUCUCCCUUCUUCUCCAUCUCAUUUCUUCCCUCUUCCUUUCGUUCCGUACAUUUGUCUCGCCGCAACAUGUGCGUUCCUCCUUUUUAACCACCCUUCGAAGCAUUCUGGUCUUAACUCCAGUCUCACGCGCCUCAUGAUGCAACAGAUUGUGAUUAUAUCGUGCAAAUUAUCAACCCUAGGGGGCAUAUCAAGCGGAAUAUCAACCGCAAAACAUCAUAUAACUUAGAAUAGUCUAAUUGCGAAAUGUUAUACGAUCGAUUUAUUAAUACUAGAACAACCUAACCUAGUCAAAUUGACAUUGAUUUCAAAAUUUUUGUUUUUUUAUAUUAUUGAAUUUGCGCUCCAAUCUGAAUUUUAUUCAUUGAAACGAAAUUUAUGUCAAUUAAAUGAACUCUAAAUGAAUUAUUAUUUGAACUAAUAAACGUUGAACAUUAUUAAACAAAAAUGUUAAUGGUUUUAAUAUUAGAUAAAGGACUUUCGGUUUCCUACGAGCGAUCGUUGAUCGAUUUUGGCUAGGUUUUUGCCUUUCGUUGAUUAUGCGAAGAUUGAUUUUCUAUUUGACGGCAACGCGUGACCGUGCGUCACGCGAUUAACAGCUUUGCGAGUAUAUCAUGUCCAAAAAUAUUGGAUACUUGCUAUUUUAAGAUAUUGCGUAUUUUUCAAUAUUUAUAAAUUUUAUUAUGAAUUAUCUAAUUUAAUUUAUUUAUAUAAUUUAUUACAUAAAUAAUGUUAAUAAGUUGUAUAAAUUAUUUGUAAUAAUGAUUGUUAAUUAUUCAUAUACUGUUAAAAAAAAUUAUCAUGACAUUUCUACUGAAAUGAUGAAAUUAACGAAGUCAAUAUACAUAUAAUAUAUUGAUACAGAAGAAAUAAGAUUCUUCUUUUGUAUUUUGUGCAAAUAAAUAUUUUGAAAUAUAAUAUAAUAUUAUAUCAUACAUAUCGACGGCAUUCUAUUAUAUGUAAUCGCAAUCAAAAUACAAGAAAUGUGCAUGAAAUAAAAAAUUGCAGCUUUUAAAUCAUAAAAUUAAAUACGUAAUAUAUUGUUAUAUAGGAUAAGAAUAUAAAUUAUUGUACCCAUUAAAA